GACGAACGCUGGCGGCGUGCUUAACACAUGCAAGUCGAACGGAAAGGCCCUGCUUGCAGGGUACUCGAGUGGCGAACGGGUGAGUAACACGUGGGUGAUCUGCCCUGCACUUCGGGAUAAGCUUGGGAAACUGGGUCUAAUACCGGAUAGGAACCAUCUUUAGUGUGGUGGUUGGAAAGUUUUUUCGGUGUAGGAUGAGCCCGCGGCCUAUCAGCUUGUUGGUGGGGUAAUGGCCUACCAAGGCGGCGACGGGUAGCCGGCCUGAGAGGGUGUACGGCCACAUUGGGACUGAGAUACGGCCCAGACUCCUACGGGAGGCAGUAGUGGGGAAUAUUGCACAAUGGGCGCAAGCCUGAUGCAGCGACGCCGCGUGGGGGAUGAAGGCCUUCGGGUUGUAAACUCCUUUCGCUAGGGACGAAGCUUUUUGUGACGGUACCUAGAUAAGAAGCACCGGCUAACUACGUG
rnacentral:rRNA from 1 species